GCUGCCCCCCGAGGGCCCAACUUUUUUCUUUUCGUCUGUGUAAUUUAACAAAAUAAAUUUGUGCGCCAUUUGGACAGAUAUGUCUGCGUAAAUGUGCAAAUUACGUUUAGCCCGCCGCAAGUCUCCGGCUCGUUCCCGCCACAAAUCUAUUAACACAACUUCAUCACUAUUUGUCCACAUUGUUCUUUGUUUGUUCACCUCCAUCUAAAAAUAUUAAAAUUAGUUUUUAAAAAUA